GACGAAGGAUGCAAGCGUUAUCCGGAUUCAUUGGGUUUAAAGGGAGCGUAGGCGGCCCUGUAAGUCAGUGGUGAAAUCUUCGAGCUUAACUCGGAAAUUGCCAUUGAUACUGCAGGGCUUGAGUACAGUUGCUGUGGGCGGAAUAUGACAUGUAGUGGUGAAAUACAUAGAGAUGUCAUAGAACACCGAUUGCGAAGGCAGCUCACAAAACUGUAACUGACGCUGAGGCUCGAAAGUGCGGGGAUCAAACAGG
rnacentral:rRNA from 1 species